rnacentral:misc_RNA from 1 species
UUCAUUUUUCUUCUCCUUCCUUUGCUCUGCACCAAACAAAACCCUAGAACCCCAAAAUCCCUGUUCCCCCCCCACACCACUUACUUGCCAUGCACCCUCACUCCUACACGGUCGAUUCCCUCUCCAAAUCACAAGAACUCGCCUCUGCUAUCCUUGCUUCCUCCACCCCCGCCCACAUCUUCUCCGUCUGCUCCUCCAUCGACUCCUUCUUACGCUCUCACACACCCGAUCAGUCUCGCCACUUCUUCUCCCUCACCUUCCCUACCCUAAUCUGCAAGCUCUACGGCUU